rnacentral:rRNA from 1 species
GACGAACGCUGGCGGCGUGCCUAACACAUGCAAGUCGAGCGGGGAUUUAAGUGGAAGUUCUUCGGAAUGGAGAUUUAAAUUCUAGCGGCGGUCGGGUGAGUAACGCGUGAACAAUCUGUCCCGGACAGGGGGACAACAAUUGGAAACAGGUGCUAAUACCGCAUAAGACCACGGCCUCGCAUGGGGCCGAGGUAAUAGGAGCAAUCCGGUUCGGGGUGAGUUCGCGUUCGAUUAGCUCGUUGGUGAGGUAACGGCCCACCAAGGCGACGAUCGGUAGCCGGCCUGAGAGGAUGAACGGCCACAUUGGAACUGAGAGACGGUACAAGCUCCUACGGGAGGCAGCAGUGAGGAAUAUUGGGCAAAGGGCGAAAGCCUGACCCAGCAACGCCGCGUGAGGGAAGAAGGUUUUCGGGGUGAAAACCUCUGUCCUAUGGGACGAAGGAAGUGACGGUACCAUAGGAAGAAGCCCCGGCUAACUACGUG